AGCUAUCCUUCACUUAAGAGUCUUCUCGGCUGGGGAUGGCCCGGUGGUGCAGCGGUUAAGUUCACACGUUCCACUUCGGCAGCCCAGGGUUCACCAGUUCGGAUCCCGGGUGCGGACAUAGCACUGCUUGGCAAGCCAUGCUGUGGCAGGCGUCCCACAUAUAAAGUAGAGGAAGAUGGGCAUGGAUGUUAGCUCAGGGCUAGUCUUCUUCAGCAAAAAGAGGAGGAUUGGCAGCAGUUGUUAGCUCAGGGCUAAUCUUCCUCAAAAAAAAAAAAAAAAAAGUCUUCUCCGGGUGCCAGACCUUACAAAAAAAAGGAAACCAGUGGGUCUUAAUUUGGGAUUAACUGACCUUUACAAGGGGGCAGGAUGGAGGAGUGACCUCCAGAGGGCGCCAGAGUGAUUCUAUGUUAAGUAGCUGCUGAAGUCCAGGAGAAUAGGGGAAACAGGUAGGACCUUCGCGUCCCAAAGGCUCAGGUGGAAAACCUGAUUCUGCUUCUUGUUUGCAUGUGGCAAACUUGGGCAACUUAUUUAACCAUUUAGAGCUUCAGCUUCCCCAUCUAUAAAAUGCGAGUUGCAGUACCUACCUCGAAGGGCUGUCAUGAAGACAAAAGGAGAUAAAGGAGGCUUACAUGAGAUAACACCGACGGAGCGCAGGGGGCAAGGAAUUAUUGCAGAGGAUCUGCAUCUCCGUUGGCACAUCAGGCCCACUGUCCACAUUGAAUUUACACUGCCCGCGCACAUGUGGUCAACCAUUUUCCAUACACACUGAGCACUGUCGCUGUCACGUGGGAGUCUGCAGAUGUGUUUGCCACGAGAUGAGAGUCCUCAGAGGCCCCCAGGAAGAUGAUGCAGGCUGCAAGCUCCAUGAAUCAGAAGAGGACUCGUCCCUCUUUGUGUCUUCUGUGGUGGCCUCAGCAAAGUAUGUGUCAUUCCAAGAUUGUCCACUCAUUGGUUACUGCCCUUCCAGAGCCAAAAGGACCAGAGGAAAGGCUGCCUGGUCAGAGGUCAACGCCAUUGGAGGUCCAGUCAACAGGGCCUCACUGAGGUCACUUCGUCUGGCUCCUGCCAUCGGCCACACCCAGCUGCUUUACUCUCCGAAACAUCCUUUGAGUGCAAGAGCGGUGCCUUUCACAUCCUCUCCUUCACUCGCCCUCCUGGUCAGCAGCAUCUCCUCCCUCCCAGGUGCCCCAGGGUUUCAGCCACUCCAGGUUCCACUGAGAUGGAAAUGCAUCCACACUAAGUCGUGGGAAAGGACUGAGCAUCAGAACCAGCAUCCGACUCUGGACCUGCCCCAGCUCUGCCUCUGCACCUCUGAAGAGUAACUCCCAUCCUGCCUUCUGGGCUCAUUAGGAGAAUCAAACAAGAUGACGUGUUAAUGGGCUUUACCACCUGGACCAUGUGAAACAGAGCUGAGGGGUCAUUAUUACCUGCAUUUUAAAGAGAAACCUUUAGGUUUUGAGUUUUAAAGCAGUUUUACUAAACCUAAUGAUGGAAGUUCAGACCAAGUUCAGACCUUUCUUUUCUGGAAAGAAGAGAAAUAUGGGGACACCAGGAUUGCUCAGGCCCAGGCAAGUGACAUCACACAAGUAGGCGCAAGUCUUUGGUCGGUCUGUGUCCCUUCUCUGUCACUCAGGGUAGGUGCUGCAGGAGUAGAGGAGGGCGAGGGUGGGUGGGCUUCUCUUGUGUUGGGCAAGAGAGUGGACAAUGGGGAGAUGUCUGCCAUGUCCGGCCUGGGCAGGUUGCUCCUUGGGGCCCAGCUAGUCUCUAGGUCACUUCACAAAAGGCUGCUGUACC
rnacentral:lncRNA from 1 species